AACGCGAAGAACCUUACCUGGGCUUGAACUACUCGUGGUAGUUCGCUGGAAACAGUGAAUGACCCGCAAGGGAGCGAGCAGAGGUGCUGCAUGGUUGUCGUCAGCUCGUGUCGUGAGAUGUUGGGUUAAGUCCCGCAACGAGCGCAACCCCUAUUCGAUGUUGCUAAUCCCGCAAGGGAUGCACUCUUCGAAAACUGCCUUCGAUAAGAAGGAGGAAGGUGGGGACGACGUCAAAUCCUCAUGGCCCUUAUGUCCAGGGCUACACACGUGCUACAAUGGCCGGUACAACGGGAAGCAAUACCGCAAGGUGGAGCCAAACCCUGAAAGCCGGCCCCAGUUCAGAUUGUGGGCUGCAACUCGCCCACAUGAAGGCGGAAUCGCUAGUAAUCGCGAAUCAGCAGGUCGCGGUGAAUACGUUCCCGGGCCUUGUA
rnacentral:rRNA from 1 species